GUGGUAAUGCUGGACGCGUCCAGGCGCACCCAGAACCCUUUGUGAACUUAUACCUUACUGUUGCCUCGGCGCAUGCUGGCCCCCUCGGGGGCCCCUCGGAGACGAGGAGCAGGCACGCCGGCGGCCAAGUUAACUCUUGUUUUUACACUGAAACUCUGAGAAAAAAACACAAAUGAAUCAAAACUUUCAACAACGGAUCUCUUGGUUCUGGCAUCGAUGAAGAACGCAGCGAAAUGCGAUAAGUAAUGUGAAUUGCAGAAUUCAGUGAAUCAUCGAAUCUUUGAACGCACAUUGCGCCCUCUGGUAUUCCGGAGGGCAUGCCUGUUCGAGCGUCAUUUCAACCCUCAAGCAUUGCUUGGUGUUGGGGCACUGCCUGUAAAAGGGCAGGCCCUGAAAUCUAGUGGCGAGCUCGCCAGGACCCCGAGCGCAGUAGUUAAACCCUCGCUCUGGAAGGCCCUGGCGGUGCCCUGCCGUUAAACCCCCAACUUCUGAAAAUUUGACCUCGGAUCAGGUAGGAAUACCCGCUGAACUUAAGCAUAUCAAUAAGCGGAGGAA
rnacentral:rRNA from 1 species